CACGUGUGUCUGGCUCCUGGCAGAGCUGGCACAUGAGGUGACUCAGUCUAUUCCCAGAGUGAUACCUUUAAAAAAAGCUGCUGCUGGGUCCCCUUUUUACUCUGACUGUAAGCUGCUGGUGGCUGCCAACCUGGUCAACUGUGUGUUCGUGCAGUGAACUUAAAGCAUGGUCAUUUCAUGGUGACUUUCAGCUGAAACUCUCUCGUGUGUCCCACUACUGGCAGGUCUGCCAGGAUUUCUGUCCUCCCUCAUGUGAGCUGAGCUGGUGGAAACGUGCCAAGGCCAGGAAUACCAGCUUGGCCAUCUGGAUCUUGCAGCUCGUAUCAAGGAAAGUACAGGGGACCUGGACAUUUCAUAGAUGCAAAACCUCGCUUCAUAUGUUUUCUAUGACCUUCAGUAAAGAAUGUCUUCUUAUCAGGGGAACCUGAAAACGUUCUAGACCUAAG